rnacentral:rRNA from 1 species
GACGAACGCUGGCGGCGUGCUUAACACAUGCAAGUCGAACGGAAAGGCCCUGCUUUUGUGGGGUGCUCGAGUGGCGAACGGGUGAGUAACACGUGAGUAACCUGCCCUUGACUUUGGGAUAACUUCAGGAAACUGGGGCUAAUACCGGAUAGGAGCUCCUGCUGCAUGGUGGGGGUUGGAAAGUUUCGGCGGUUGGGGAUGGACUCGCGGCUUAUCAGCUUGUUGGUGUGGUAGUGGCUUACCAAGGCUUUGACGGGUAGCAGGCCUGAGAGGGUGACCGGCCACAUUGGGACUGAGAUACGGCCCAGACUCCAACGGGAGGCAGCGGUGGGGAAUAUUGCACAAUGGGCGGAAGCCUGAUGCAGCAACGCCGCGUGCGGGAUGACGGCCUUCGGGUUGUAAACCGCUUUCGCCUGUGACGAAGCGUGAGUGACGGUAAUGGGUAAAGAAGCACCGGCUAACUACGUG